rnacentral:rRNA from 1 species
CUGAUUAGCUAGUUGGUGGGGUAACGGCCUACCAAGGCGACGAUCAGUAGCUGGUCUGAGAGGAUGAUCAGCCACACCGGGACUGAGACACGGCCCGGACUCCUACGGGAGGCAGCAGUGGGGAAUAUUGGACAAUGGGGGCAACCCUGAUCCAGCCAUGCCGCGUGUGUGAAGAAGGCCUUAGGGUUGUAAAGCACUUUAAGCAGGAAAGAAAAGCGGCGGGUUAAUAGCCCGAUCGUAUUGACGGUACCUGCGGAAUAAGCACCGGCUAACUCCGUGCCAGCAGCCGCGGUAAUACAGAGGGUGCAAGCGUUAAUCGGAAUUACUGGGCGUAAAGCGAGUGCAGGCGGUCAUGUGUGUCGGGUGUGAAAGCCCCGGGCUUAACCUGGGAAUGGCAUCCGAAACUGCAUGACUGGAAUAUGGUAGAGGAAGACGGAAUUCCACGUGUAGCGGUG